rnacentral:rRNA from 1 species
AGAGUUUGAUCCUGGCUCAGGAUGAACGCUGGCGGCGUGCCUAAUACAUGCAAGUCGAGCGAAUGACGAGGAGCUUGCUCCUCUGAUUUAGCGGCGGACGGGUGAGUAACACGUGGGUAAUCUGCCUGUAAGACGGGGAUAACUCCGGGAAACCGGGGCUAAUACCGGAUAAUAAGAAGAAACGCAUGUUUCUUUUUUGAAAGUCGGCAUCUCGCUGACACUUACAGAUGAGCCCGCGGCGCAUUAGCUAGUUGGUGAGGUAACGGCUCACCAAGGCGACGAUGCGUAGCCGACCUGAGAGGGUGAUCGGCCACACUGGGACUGAGACACGGCCCAGACUCCUACGGGAGGCAGCAGUAGGGAAUCUUCGGCAAUGGGCGAAAGCCUGACCGAGCAACGCCGCGUGAGCGAUGAAGGCCUUCGGGUCGUAAAGCUCUGUUGUUAGAGAAGAACAAGUACGAGAGUAACUGCUCGUACCUUGACGGUACCUAACCAGAAAGCCACGGCUAACUACGUGCCAGCAGCCGCGGUAAUACGUAGGUGGCAAGCGUUAUCCGGAAUUAUUGGGCGUAAAGCGCGCGCAGGCGGUCUCUUAAGUCUGAUGUGAAAGCCCACGGCUCAACCGUGGAGGGUCAUUGGAAACUGGGAGACUUGAGUGCAGGAGAGAAAAGUGGAAUUCCACGUGUAGCGGUGAAAUGCGUAGAGAUGUGGAGGAACACCAGUGGCGAAGGCGGCUUUUUGGCCUGUAACUGACGCUGAGGCGCGAAAGCGUGGGGAGCAAACAGGAUUAGAUACCCUGGUAGUCCACGCCGUAAACGAUGAGUGCUAGGUGUUGGGGGGUUCCACCCUCAGUGCUGAAGUUAACACAUUAAGCACUCCGCCUGGGGAGUACGACCGCAAGGUUGAAACUCAAAGGAAUUGACGG